rnacentral:tRNA from 1 species
GCGGGUAUAGUUUUAGUGGUAGAACCUCAGCCUUUCCAAGCUGAUGAUGCGGGUUUCGAUUUCCCGCUACCCGCUCCA